rnacentral:rRNA from 1 species
GCACUGACUGCUAUCGGAUUGAUACUAAGCCAUGCGAGUCAUUGUAGUAAUACAAGGCAGACGGCUCAGUAACGCGUAGUCAACCUAACCUAUGGACGGGAAUAACCUCGGGAAACUGAGUAUAAUGCCCGAUAGAACAUUAUGCCUGGAAUGGUUUAUGUUCCAAAUGAUUUAUCGCCGUAGGAUGGGACUGCGGCCUAUCAGUUUGUUGGUGAGGUAAUGGCCCACCAAGACUAUUACAGGUACGGGCUCUGAGAGGAGUAGCCCGGAGAUGGGUACUGAGACACGGACCCAGGCCCUAUGGGGCGCAGCAGGCGAGAAAACUUUGCAAUGUGCGAAAGCACGACAAGGUUAAUCCGAGUGGUUUCUGCUAAAGGAACCUUUUGUCGGUCCUAGAAACACCGAUGAAUAAGGGGUGGGCAAGUUCUGGUGUCAGCCGCCGCGGUAAAACCAGCACCUCAAGUGGUCAGGAUGAUUAUUGGGCCUAAAGCAUCCGUAGCCGGCUCUAUAAGUUUUCGGUUAAAUCUGUACGCUCAACGUACAGGCUGCCGGGAAUACUGCAGAGCUAGGGAGUGGGAGAGGUAGACGGUACUCGGUAGGAAGGGGUAAAAUCCUUUGAUCUAUUGAUGACCACCUGUGG